rnacentral:rRNA from 1 species
CAAAAGCUUGGUCCUGACUUUACUAUCAACUUUAGCUAAACUUACACAUGCAAGUAUCCGCACCCCUGUGAGAAUGCCCCACAGUCCCCUGCCCGGGAACAAGGAGCUGGUAUCAGGCACAAUUACACCCAGCCCAUAACACCUUGCUUAGCCACACCCUCAAGGGAACUCAGCAGUGAUAGACAUUAAGCUAUAAGUGAAAACUUGACUUAGUCAAAGCUAAGAGGGUCGGUAAAACUCGUGCCAGCCACCGCGGUUAUACGAGAGACCCAAGUUGAUAGACGCCGGCGUAAAGAGUGGUUAAGAUAGACUGAAACUAAAGCCGAACACCCUCAGAGCUGUUAUACGCACCCGAAGGUAAGAAGUCCAAUCACGAAAGUGGCUUUAUAUCACCUGAACCCACGAAAGCUAUGAUACAAACUAGGAUUAGAUACCCUAUUAU